CGAUUCUCAUGCCUCAGCCUCCCAAGUAGCUGGGACUACAGGCAUGUGCCACCAUGCCUGGAAGGGAAGAACAGAUUAGUGAGAAACCAUCUUGGCAUCUACCAGACCCCCGCUUGGUGCAGCUCUACCAGCUGAAGAGUCACUCACCGACACCACUGCCCAUAGCGGGUGGGGAACCUCGGGGGUGAGGCGCGGUGGUCUUGAGCCUGUGCGUGGGCACCAGCAGCUUCUGUCAGAGCUCUGCCCUGAGGCCCUCCUGGUGCGGCUGCGGUAGAAGGGCCGGGGCUGUGUGGAGACCCCGCUGUUGCCGCCCUGUGUUUUCCUGCUAACUGUUGGCCCCGUGGCUGGGUUUGCAUUCUCCUCCCCCCGCCCCCACCCCAUCUGCCCUGGUCAGUGCUGGUCGGAAGGGAGACCAUCUCCAUCUCGAGAGGAGGUGACCAGCUGCCUGCCUGCAGGGGCUUGGGUGGCCUCCCCUGCUGCUGGUCCCUGUGCCCCUCCUCCCCGUGCUUGCUGUGAGGCUGCAGCUGUGGCGGUUUCUUUUCUGUGUCUCCUGCAUUGCUGUUACCUCCAUAAUGUGAAAUGUAAACCAUGUGAAUGAAAAGGAAGCUCCGUCCCUGUCGUCCUCUCCAGGCCGGUGCGGGAAGGCGGAUGUGUGGCUCAUCCCGGACGCUGGCUUCUCUUCCCUCUUCCACACGCGCACACCCGCCGGGCUCUGCUCACCUUGCCUUCUCAGCCUUGUCAGUCGGGCAGUGUCCUAAGGUUACCAGGAGGUGUUCUGAAGCAUUUUUUGAGACGUGAUGUCGCUGUCACCCAGGCUGGAGGGCAGUAGCACAGUCUUGGCUCACUGUAGCCUCGACCUGUGCUCAAGCGAUCCUCCCACCUCAGCCCCCUGAGUAGCUGGGACCACAGGUGCCUGCCACCAUGCCUGGCUAGUUUUUUGUAUUUUUAGUAGACACAGGGUCUCGCCAUGUUGUCCAGGCUGGUCUCAAACUCCAGGGCUCAAGUGAUCCAUCUGCCUUAGCCUCCCAAAGUGCUGGUAUCACAGACGUGAGCCUCCGUGCCUGGUCUGCCAUCCUGUGAAGUUCCCGUGAUAAAGUGGUGCGUUUCUCUUGCAGGAGAAGUACAGCAUCGGGGAGCCCACAGUGCCAUCCACCCUGGCAGAGGAGUUUACCUACAACCCCUUCAUGAGAGUGAGGGAGAAGACGGUGCAGCAGCACGCAGGUGAGACGGACCCGGUGACCACCAUGCGGGCCGUGCGCAGGGAGAAGGACCAGUUCAAGAUGCCCCGGGACUGAGGCCGCCCUGCACCUUCAGCGGAUUUGGGGAUUAGGCUCUUUUAGGUAACUGGCUUUCCUGCUGGUCCGUGCGGGAAAUUCAGUCUUGAUUUAACCUUAAUUUUACAGCCCUUGGCUUGUGUUAUCGGACAUUCUAAUGCAUAUUUAUAAGAGAAGUUUAACAAGUAUUUAUUCCCAU
rnacentral:lncRNA from 1 species